ensembl:lncRNA
GUGCGCGCCUCUCACCGGUCAAGUUUAAAAAUGCGUCUGUUUGAGUGGGUAUGCUGCUGCUGGGCCAUUCGUUCGGUGCACUGGACUUACACAACACAAUUCAUGCUAAGUGAAUCAGAUUUAAUGCUGUAAAUUCAUUAGAGACACAUAUGAACACCGUUUUCUAACAGCUGUUGUCAUCAUGUUAUUGACCAAUUCAAUGUGAUUGUCUAUCUCUAUAUAGCUUGUAACUAGCUAACUGGCCAGGCUAGCCUAGCUUGAGUGGAAAAAACGUGGCUAGCAGAUGACAAGUAAAUGUCAUACUUUUCUUAAGUCGGUCACUCUGCCAGUAAUAACUUUGUGUUUUAUGUCAGCUUAAAUAAAAAAAAAACUAAUAAUUUAACCUUAAACUGUCUGUAGAAAAAUAGGUUGCUGCUGUAGCUACUAGCUGGCCAAUUCACUCUUUUAUCUUAGUUAGGCUAUCUAGCAAACAGAAAUAUCAAGUGAGUUUUCAAGGGAGUUAACUAGCUGGAUUGCUUAAUAUUUUGUUGUACUACAUGCAUGUUCUAAUUACAUAUAUUAUCAUUUUGAAAUAUAGCUGUAGUUUUGAUUUACCCUACUCCAUGGAUAUUAUACGAUUGGAUGUUGGUUAUGGAUGUGUAAGCAUCUUCAAGUUUAUGGAAAGCGUCGCAGUUUACUUGCUAACGUUUUUAUGGAAGACAACUAGCCAUUAUGAAACGAUAGGGAUAUAUUCACAGCUUCUUCACAUAAAGAUGCCAAAAUAUGGUGGUUAAUAGUGAGUGGGUAUCAUAGUAACAUUUUCUUCCUGCAGGACCUGUAAUAUUCUGACACUCAGUGACGGAGAGGCUGUUAAAUUCACGCUGGUUGCUUUAUUAUGCCUCAACAACAAAACCCCACACAGAGCAGAGACAUGCUAAUCAAGGCAAGGUGAUGAUUGUCAGAGGGGAAAUUUCCUGCCACAAGAUCUUCAAAUGCAAUGUGUAUCUCCGUGGUGUAGGGGUUGAAGACACGGUCUCAUAUGUGGGAACCCAUCUGGGUUCAAAUCCAGGGAGGGCAUCAACAAUCACAAUUUUAAUUGCGGGCCGGCUGAAUUUGGUUUGCCUGCUUUCUUUCCCCUUGAUAUGAUACAUCUGUGAUAACUGUCCAUUGUUGUGAAUCCACGUCUUCCUUCUUUUGGUAAUUUUUUUGGCGGGAAUGCUAACAUGCAUUAAGUUUGUUUAAAGAAAUGGCAAAAAAUGAAAUCCUACUUUUUAAGGACUUUUCAGUGAAUCUUAGUGUGUCCAUAUUUUAUGUUUUUCCCCCCUAACUACACCAGGGAUGGAUCCAGCUGAUUACUGGCAAUUUGGAGGAGGAUUGAUCUUUAUCUGCUACGUUGCACAGUCACUUCUGGUACAGAUUCAUUGACCUUUUGUGCUAUGUUUUGAUUUAACUUUAUUUGUAAUUAAGUUUCCAAUUGCACUUUAAUUGACACAGUGAAACUCUUGUAGAUGUAUCCAUUUCUUUUGCAUUUCUUCAGUAUGUUUUCAGUUGAGGAUAUUUCACAGUAAUCUUAAAGCUUAUAUUUAUG